rnacentral:rRNA from 1 species
UACGUAGGGGGCGAGCGUUGUCCGGAAUCACUGGGCGUAAAGGGCGCGUAGGCGGUUUGUUAAGUCAGAUGUGAAAGGUGAGGGCUCAACCCUUAGAAUGCAUCUGAUACUGGCAGACUUGAGUACAGAAGAGGAAAGCGGAAUUCCUAGUGUAGCGGUGAAAUGCGUAGAUAUUAGGAGGAACACCAGUGGCGAAGGCGGCUUUCUGGGCUGAAACUGACGCUGAGGCGCGAAAGCGUGGGGAGCAAACAGG